UUCUGGCUUCUCUCCAGCACUAGAUCCUGUGCCCAGGUCUGAAAAUGGAUGCAGCAAGUCUGAGCUGGCAGGAUCUGAGGCACACACCUGCACCCCGGCUACAAAGGAGUGUGAAAAAAACACUAAGCAUCCAGCAUUUUGUAGCCACUUUAUCUGGGGGUUAGGUCUUGUUUUCUGUCAAGAUAAAUAAGCACUCACCUAACCAGGAUGCCCUAUGAAUCUGGCCCUGACCUACCCUUCCAUUGCAAAUAUAAUAGCUGGUAAGAAACGGAGGCUCAGGGGGUUAAGGGACCUAUCCAACGUCACAGCUGAUAUGUUAAGGGGAAGAGAAAAGAGGAAUAUCAAACAGAGCUACUAAAAAGUCACACGACACUAGGAGGCUCCCAUUCUGCAAAUCAAUGUUGUUAAAAUUUAUGUUCCUUGCUAGCCUACCGGGCCUGGGGUUUCAGAGUGAAUAAAUCAAACAGUCUUGAUCUAGA